rnacentral:rRNA from 1 species
UAAGCAUAUCAAUAAGCGGAGGAAAAGAAACCAACAGGGAUUGGCUCUAGUCCCGGCGAGUGAAGCAGCAAUAGCUCAAAUUUGAAAUCUGGCGUCUUCGACGUCCGAGUUGUAAUUUGUAGAGGAUGCUUCUGAGUAACCACCGACCUAAGUUCCUUGGAACAGGACGUCAUAGAGGGUGAGAAUCCCGUAUGCGGUCGGAAAGGUGCUCUAUACGUAGCUCCUUCGACGAGUCGAGUUGUUUGGGAAUGCAGCUCUAAAUGGGAGGUAAAUUUCUUCUAAAGCUAAAUAUUGGCCAGAGACCGAUAGCGCACAAGUAGAGUGAUCGAAAGAUGAAAAGCACUUUGGAAAGAGAGUUAAAAAGCACGUGAAAUUGUUAAAAGGGAAGGGAUUGCAACCAGACUUGCUCGCGGUGUUCCGCCGGUCUUCUGACCGGUCUACUCGCCGCGUUGCAGGCCAGCAUCGUCUGGUGCCGCUGGAUAAGACUUGAGGAAUGUAGCUCCCUCGGGAGUGUUAUAGCCUCUUGUGAUGCAGCGAGCGCCGGGCGAGGUCCGCGCUUCGGCUAGGAUGCUGGCGUAAUGGUCGUAAUCCGCCCGUCUUGAAACACGGACCAAGGAGUCUAACAUCUAUGCGAGUGUUCGGGUGUCAAACCCCUACGCGUAAUGAAAGUGAACGGAGGUGAGAACCGCAAGGUGCAUCAUCGACCGAUCCUGAUGUCUUCGGAUGGAUUUGAGUAAGAGCAUAGCUGUUGGGACCCGAAAGAUGGUGAACUAUGCCUGAAUAGGGUGAAGCCAGAGGAAACUCUGGUGGAGGCUCGCAGCGGUUCCUGACGUGCAAAUCGAUCGUCAAAUUUGGGUAUAGGGGCGAAAGACUAAUCGAACCAUCUAGUAGCUGGUUCCUGCCGAAGU